GUUUGAUCCUGGCUCAGGAUGAACGCUGGCGGCGUGCCUAAUACAUGCAAGUCGAACGGAGAAUGUAGCAAUACGUUCUUAGUGGCGAACGGGUGAGUAACGCGUUGGUGACCUGCCCCAAAGAGGGGGAUAACAGUUCGAAAGGAUUGCUAAUACCCCAUGUGGUCACGGGGAUUAGAUGCCUUGUGACUAGAGGAGAAAUUCACUUUGGGAGGGGCUUGCGGCCCAUUAGCUAGUUGGCGGGGUAAUGGCCCACCAAGGCAGUGAUGGGUAUCCGGCCUGAGAGGGUGUACGGACACAUUGGGACUGAGAUACGGCCCAGACUCCUUCGGGAGGCAGCAGUAGGGAAUUUUGCGCAAUGGACGUAAGUCUGACGCAGCAACGCCGCGUGAGUGAUGAAGGUCUUCGGAUUGUAAAGCUCUGUUGAGUGGGAAGAAAAGUUGCGGUUCUAAUAAAACCGUGGCCUGACGGUACCGCUCGAGGAAGGACCGGCUAACUACGUGCCAGCAGCCGCGGUAAUACGUAGGGUCCAAGCGUUGUUCGGAAUCACUGGGCGUAAAGGGAGCGUAGGCGGAAUCGUAAGUUAGGAGUGUAAUAUCCGGGCUUAACCCGGAUCUUGCUUUUAAUACUGCGGUUCUUGAGUUUGGAAGAGGGAGAUGGAAUUCCAGGUGUAGCGGUGGAAUGCGUAGAUAUCUGGAAGAACACCAGUAGCGAAGGCGGUCUCCUGGUCCUAUACUGACGCUGAGGCUCGAAAGUUAGGGGAGCAAACAGGAUUAGAUACCCUGGUAGUCCUAACUAUAAACGAUGAGUACUAGACGUUGGGGGAGUCAAUCCUUCCAGUGUCGUCGCUAACGCUUUAAGUACUCCGCCUGGGAAGUAC
rnacentral:rRNA from 1 species